rnacentral:siRNA from 1 species
AAUUAUGUAGGUGUUGAAUAAU